GAUGAAGAACGUAGCGAAAUGCGAUAAGUAAUGUGAAUUGCAGAAUUCAGUGAAUCAUCGAAUCUUUGAACGCACAUUGCGCCCCUUGGUAUUCCGAGGGGCAUGCCUGUUCGAGCGUCAUUAUAACCCUCAAGCUCAGCUUGGUGUUGGGGCCUGCUGCACUGGCAGCCCUUAAAAUCAGUGGCGGCACCAUCUGGCUCUAAGCGUAGUAAUUCUUCUCGCUAUGGAGUCCUGGUGGAUGCUUGCCAUCAACCCCCAAUUUUUCUAUGGUUGACCUCGGAUCAGGUAGGGAUACCCGCUGAACUUAAGCAUAUCAAUAAGCGGAGGA
rnacentral:misc_RNA from 1 species